GACGAACGCUGGCGGCGUGCUUAACACAUGCAAGUCGAGCGGAAAGGCCCCUUCGGGGGUACUCGAGCGGCGAACGGGUGAGUAACACGUGAGUAAUCUGCCAUUCACUUUGGGAUAACCCCCGGAAACGGGAGCUAAUACCGGAUACGACCUUCAACCGCAUGGUUUGUUGGUGGAAACUUUUUUGGGUGGGGGAUGUGCUCGCGGCCUAUCAGCUUGUUGGUGGGGUAAUGGCCUACCAAGGCUUUGACGGGUAGCCGGCCUGAGAGGGUGAGCGGCCACACUGGGACUGGGACACGGCCCAGACUCCUACGGGAGGGAGGAGUGGGGAAUAGUGGACAAUGGGCGGAGGCCUGAUCCAGCAACGCGGCGUGAGGGAUGACGGCCUUCGGGUUGUAAACCACUUUCAGCACCGACGAAGCGCAAGUGACGGUAGGUGCAGAAGAAGGACCGGCCAACUACGUGCCAGCCGCCGCCGUAACAC
rnacentral:rRNA from 1 species